CCUACGGAGUGCUGCAGUGGGGAAUAUUGGACAAUGGGCGAAAGCCUGAUCCAGCCAUGCCGCGUGUGUGAAGAAGGCCUUCGGGUUGUAAAGCACUUUCAGUGGGGAAGAAAGCCUUGGGGCUAAUACCCUCGAGGAAGGACAUCACCCACAGAAGAAGCACCGGCUAACUCCGUGCCAGCAGCCGCGGUAAUACGGAGGGUGCGAGCGUUAAUCGGAAUUACUGGGCGUAAAGCGCGCGUAGGCGGUCUGAUAAGCCGGUUGUGAAAGCCCCGGGCUCAACCUGGGAACGGCAUCCGGAACUGUCAGGCUAGAGUGCAGGAGAGGAAGGUAGAAUUCCCGGUGUAGCGGUGAAAUGCGUAGAGAUCGGGAGGAAUACCAGUGGCGAAGGCGGCCUUCUGGACUGACACUGACGCUGAGGUGCGAAAGCGUGGGUAGCAAACAGGAUUAGAUACCCCAGUAGUC
rnacentral:rRNA from 1 species